rnacentral:rRNA from 1 species
AGAGUUUUAAUCAUGGCUCAGGACCAACGCUGGCGGCGUCCCUAAUACAUGCAAGUAGAACGCUGAGGUUUUGGUGUUUACACUAGACUGAUGAGUUGCGAACGGGUGAGUAACGCGUAGGUAACCUGCCUCAUAGCGGGGGAUAACUAUUGGAAACGAUAGCUAAUACCGCAUAAGAGUAAUUAACACAUGUUAGUUAUUUAAAAGGAGCAAUUGCUUCACUGUGAGAUGGACCUGCGUUGUAUUAGCUAGUUGGUGAGGUAAAGGCUCACCAAGGCGACGAUACAAAGCCGACCUGAGAGGGUGAUCGGCCACACUGGGACUGAGACACGGCCCAGACUCCUACGGGAGGCAGCAGUAGGGAAUCUUUGGCAAUGGACGGAAGUCUGACCGAGCAACGCCGCGUGAGUGAAGAAGGUUUUCGGAUCGUAAAGCUCUGUUGUUAGAGAAGAACGUUGGUAGGAGUGGAAAAUCUACCAAGUGACGGUAACUAACCAGAAAGGGACGGCUAACUACGUGCCAGCAGCCGCGGUAAUACGUAGGUCCCGAGCGUUGUCCGGAUUUAUUGGGCGUAAAGCGAGCGCAGGCGGUUCUUUAAGUCUGAAGUUAAAGGCAGUGGCUUAACCAUUGUACGCUUUGGAAACUGGAGGACUUGAGUGCAGAAGGGGAGAGUGGAAUUCCAUGUGUAGCGGUGAAAUGCGUAGAUAUAUGGAGGAACACCGGUGGCGAAAGCGGCUCUCUGGUCUGUAACUGACGCUGAGGCUCGAAAGCGUGGGGAGCAAACAGGAUUAGAUACCCUGGUAGUCCACGCCGUAAACGAUGAGUGCUAGGUGUUAGGCCCUUUCCGGGGCUUAGUGCCGCAGCUAACGCAUAAGCACUCCGC